GUUGUACAAACCAGUAAAAGCAACUUACUGGUCAUGAAAGCUUAACUUACCAGUCAUAAAAGCUAUUUUCUGUUUCAGGCAUCAACUAUUAGUAUCUCUGCUAUUUUGAAGAAACAUAGUUUUCUGUAGGAUUUCAGAAAUGACACUGGCCUACUGACCCAUGCUUAUGCUCAUAAUGACUCUUUUAAAAUCAUGUCUGUUACUGAGAUGACUUACACAGUAAUAAGCAUAUGGAUAAUCAUGUGUAACACCACCUUUAGAAGGAACAAGUUGCAGUAAGAUAUUUUAAGUCUGUAGCUGAUACCACUGUCUUGAAUUCAGCAAGGUACUGUCAAUAUCAAAGCAUUCACUGGAAUGUUGCAGAAACAAUCAUACAAGUGCUUUCUUCUGACCAGUUCACAAAAAGUAACUGAAAUUAAAUUACCAGUACUGUUCCUUAGUGUGCUUGGAAAGGAAGAAAUCUCCCUUCAUUUUCACUGGCACAGUGGGAUUCAAGUUGCUCUCAUGGAAGCACAUCAAGUUCUUAAUAAAGGCCACUAAUAAUUUCCCUUAAAUUGCAAAUGUUUUAUAAGCAAAAUUAUUUAUAGUACCUUGAUUUGUAUAUGAAUCAUUGCAAAGACUGUAGUAACUAUAAGUAGUGCUUCAUCUGUGCCAGUAGGUUGCAGUUCCCAUCCCUGAUAUGGCAUGUUGAUAUGAGCAUCCUGGAGAAGUGCUAUUGUAUAAAAGGCCCCCAUCUUAAAGGUGAUACUCUUUUCUGCUGUUUCAUAUGUUGUGUUGCUAAUGUCAUCAGUUCUCCACUGCUGGCCUUUACAGAAGAGAUGCAAAAAUACAAAGAUGUAUACCUAAAGUUUCUGCUUGGCAUAUGUACUUGGGAAGAAUUAGUGAAGACAUCCCAGGAUAACUAACACUGACCCAUCAUUAAGAUAAAAUGUUAGGCAUAAAGACAAUUCAUUUAAGGCAAAAAACUCUACACGUUAUAAUUGUCUUUACCUAUAAGAUUAGGCUAAUUUUGACAGGAAAGCUUCUCCUUAAUUUCAAAAGAAAUACAAAUACUGAUGUAACUGUCAUUUCUUAUGUGCUAUAAAGCUGUCCACAAAAUAAUUUUCAAAGUAACUUCAAGCAUCAAACUGUUUAAAUGGGUUCUACUCACAUUAAUGAAUGUAAAGUCAGAGGUAUCUUGUAUUUAUCUAAGAACUAGAAUAUCACGUUUGGAUUUUAACAUUUAAUUUUCAUAGUAUUAAGUUAAUACUAAUACAUGUUAAGUUGGCUUAAAGUGGACUUUACAUGACUUUACCCUAGGAAAACUUGAUUUGUGGCAUACAGGUGUACUGCUGCCCAUUAAAUGGUGUGCAUUUAUUUUUUCUAUUAAUAUUAAAAAGCUACAGUAAAAAGCCUCAACAA